rnacentral:misc_RNA from 1 species
UUACUUUCUUCUGUCAAUCGUGUUAAGGGGGGGAGAACAACUGUCUAAUCUAAUUAAUCAAAUUGUAGGUGAAAAUUUUAAUGGCUGCUCUGAUUUCAUAUACUUAAUAAUCAUCAAGUAUGUUUACGUGAAUAUUUCAAGUUGAAGUGAGAAUUAUUGAAAAUUUUGAUAACUGCUUCUCGUAAUCACCAGAUUACUACCAACAAAUUUAUCUCAAAGUGAAGUGAAUUGUUUAGUACCAAAGUAUCGGCCGCUAUUUUAGUAAAAUGAGAGGACGUUCUGGAAGAAGAUCAAGAAGCAGAGAUCGCAGGAGAUCUCGUAGUCGUGACAGAGGUUAUGGCGGGGGAGGUGGCAGGAGAAAUGCCACCGGUUCAAAUCUACGUAAACCUAGAUGGGACCUGAGUCGGUUAGAACCAUUCAAAAAAGAUUUUUACGUACCUCACCCAUCCGUUUCUAACCGUUCAUUGCAAGAAAUUAACGAAUGGAGACAGAGCAAAGAGAUUUCUCUGAAAGGAAAAAAUAUACCUGACCCUGUAUUUUCUUUUGAGGAGGCUGGUUUUCCGGACUAUGUAAUGAACGAACUGAAAAAAAUGAAUUUCAAAAAUCCCACUGCCAUUCAGGCUCAAGGUUGGCCUAUUGCUUUGUCGGGACGUGAUAUGGUGGGAAUCGCUUCAACUGGAUCUGGUAAAACUCUGAGUUAUAUUUUACCUGCCACUGUUCACAUCAAUAAUCAGUCAAGGCUGUUGCGUGGAGAUGGUCCUAUAGUUCUGAUCCUGGCCCCAACAAGAGAAUUAGCCCAACAAAUCCAGCAGGUUGCCUCUGAUUUCGGUCAGACUUCAAAAAUACGUAGUACAUGCGUAUUCGGUGGUGCACCCAAGGGUCCACAAGUGAAUGACCUAAUGGACGGAGUAGAAAUAGUUAUUGCGACUCCAGGCCGUCUCAUAGAUUUCUUAGAAACCAAUAGGACAAAUCUGAAGAGGUGCACUUAUUUAGUUCUUGACGAGGCAGACAGAAUGCUUGAUAUGGGUUUUGAACCUCAAAUCAGAAAAAUUAUCGAACAGAUCCGACCGGACAGACAAACCUUGAUGUGGUCUGCUACUUGGCCAAAAGAAGUACAAAAUUUAGCUCAGGAAUUCUUGAAGGAUUACAUUCAGAUCAAUGUCGGGUCGCUGCAGUUGUCUGCCAACCACAAUAUUUUACAGAUUAUCGACGUUUGCCAAGAAAGCGAAAAGGAAACCAAAUUGAGUACUCUUUUGAAGGAGAUUAUGGCCGAAAAGGAAAACAAAACAAUCAUUUUUAUCGAGACCAAAAGGAAAGUCGAUGAAAUCACUAGAAAAAUGAAGCGAGAUGGUUGGCCAGCGGUCUGUAUUCACGGAGAUAAAACUCAACAAGAGCGAGACGGGGUACUACAAGAUUUUAGGACCGGAAAAGCUCCUAUUCUCGUUGCCACAGACGUAGCCGCAAGAGGUUUAGAGGCACUAGCAAGUUAAUGACAGAAACUUGUCAUUGUGGCUGUGCCUCUCUCUGUCUCUCUAUCGGACGACGAUCAGUGUGCUCGGCUAAAGAAGGCCUCGUUGAAGUCUGUGGUCUCGAACUGCUGGCUAUAACCUGGCCUGGCUAUAGGUGGGCCCCACCCGAUAAAAGGCUGCCCCAUGCCGCAGUCAGAUUUGGACUGGCUUGGCUGCGGGCCGCUCAUUGCCUCACACACAAACACUGGGUCAUGAACUAAGCCGACUAGAGGGCUCAGUGCGCAGUGCUGUUUUCCGUUAGAUGAUGCAAUUCUUGAUGUUGAGGAUGUGAAAUUUGUGAUCAAUUUUGAUUACCCAUCCAACUCUGAAGACUAUGUCCAUCGGAUCGGUCGUACUGGCC